rnacentral:ncRNA from 1 species
GAUUAGUUUUAUUCUUGCUGUUUUGUUCAGUUUUGUCUUGUUUUGUAUGUAAGUUUUUGCGUAAGUGGGUGUCCCUUCUUAAGGUUGGGGUUGUGGGUAUGAGAACUCAGGGUGAUUUGAUUUGCAAUGGUUAGCAUUAUAUAUCUUGGCUUCUUGGAUUUAGUAAUGACUUGUUAAUACCGGUUAAGUUUGUGCCAGCAGCCGCGGUUAUACAUUAGGUGUUAUUGAACAUUUUUGGUUAUGUAGUUUUAUGUUGAUGGUGGUGGGUAUGGAUUGGAUAUUUUGGUUGGUGAAAUUAAUAAAUUCUAGUUGAGUACCUUUGUAUGUUUUUGUAAGCUGCGAAAUCUUUUAGUAGACUAGGAUUAGAUACCCUAUUAUUUUUGACGUUAAUUUAUUUUCCUGGGUAGUAUUAGUUGCGUUCUUGAAACCCAAAGAAUUUGGCGGUAUUCUAUACCUUUCAGAGGAAUCUGCUCCGUGAUCGAUAAUCCGCGUUGGACCUUACUUAGGAUUUUUGAUUUGUAUACCGCUGUUAUAAUGAGGAUCAUUUUAGUGUUUGAAUUUUCUGGUAUCAUUAUUGUGAUUUAUUUCAGGUCAAGGUGCAGUUGAUUUUUAAGUGUGAAGUGGAUUACAAUAUGUUGUUGAGUUUGGAUUGUUGAUUGGAAUAAUCGGCAGGAAACUGGAUUUGAUAGUAAUUGAGUGAAGAUUGUUUAAAUGAUUUUGGUUCUGGAAUAUGUACACAUCGCCCGUCGCUCUCAUUUUUGUUGAGAUAAGUCGUAACAUAGUGGUCGUACCGGAAGGUGUGGCUGGAUUGAU